rnacentral:rRNA from 1 species
UACGUAUGGUGCAAGCGUUAUCCGGAUUUACUGGGUGUAAAGGGAGCGUAGGCGGCGCGUUAAGUCUGAUGUGAAAACCCGAGGCUCAACCACGGGAGUGCAUUGGAAACUGGCGGGCUGGAGUGCCGGAGAGGUAAGCGGAAUUCCUAGUGUAGCGGUGAAAUGCGUAGAUAUUAGGAGGAACACCAGUGGCGAAGGCGACUUACUGGACGGCAACUGACGCUGAGGCCCGAAAGCGUGGGGAGCAAACAGG